ensembl:lncRNA
GUAAACUCUCGCUGUGGCAGUUCUACAGCUCCAGUGGCUGUGGGCGGCAUGUGGUGGGCAGGCCAGGGGGAGAGGGUUAAUGAGCUGUGGAGUUCUCUCUGUUGGACUCAUGGAGGCUGAUGUGAAAUCUUCGCUCAGCUAGUCUUGAGCAUGUUAGAUUUGCACUUGAAGACCUCAGGUUACCUACAUUUUACAAAGAGUUGAGUCAAGGAUUCUUGCCUGAGAUUCCUGAAAAUAGGUACAUAAGGAAUGCAGCUAACAGAGUUCAUCUAAAGUCAUUGGUUGAGACCAAAGAAAGAAGAAAGGAAAGAUAAUUUGCAAACAUCCAUUCAAGUGGCAAAAAGUGAUUCCUUUUUCAUUUUGGGUCUGAAGGAUUUGUUGUGUGUUGUAAACUGCCUACCAUUGUAAGUUUCUGAAAAGCCUGUAUCACAAGAACAACAGAAAUACCUGAACCCAGAUGAAUCCUGCCGCCAAGCAUGUUGAGACAUAUACAUCAUUAUAUGACAAGGAUACGUAUAAAACUGAUGUUGGAAUUUGGUCUUAAGUUAGUUGUUUGUUUUCUUAUUUAUUCCCCUGUUAUUUACCGAUGAGACAGAGUAUUUUAAUCCUUUCCUCUUCCCAGUUAAAGUUAACUCUUUCUUCUGUUAUUUACAAUUGGAAAUUGUGACACUUCCUGUUUUCCUUUCAAAUGGGAAAAUUGGUGGAAAUAUUUUAUAAGCUGUGAUAUGUUGUUAUUUUUUAAACUUCCAUGAUUUAUAAGGUUUUUAAAAUUGUAUUUGGCACUAUUUACAAAAAGGAUUUUUUCAGUGCUUAUUGACUCUGUUUCUGGUAGUAUUUCAUCCAGAAGAUGUCCCUGUCCAGGGCAUAUGUCUAUAAGAAGCAAGUUAUUCCUUCUGCUUGCAUUGCUGCAUGCUUUGAAGAACGGGCUCUAAAGCUACCAGC